UGUGCAUUUGUGGGCGUAUGAGAUCUUCAUUGUUUGCAAUAUGUUAUUUCUUUGGUGUACUUUUUCGUAUGGUAGGUCAACGUCGGUUUUGGUCGCCAUAAAAUGAUCGGAGGAAUGUAGCUUCGACCUCGGUUGAAGUGUUAUAGCCUUUGGUAAAUGUGGUGAUUAGGACCGAGGAUUGCAACGAAUACCUUUUAGGCUAUCCGUCUGACUUCUGAAAGUUACUUGGGUGUCGAAAGCUUGCUUACGGCCAUUUAAGUUAACGGUCAAAAGGUUAGAACGUGAUUACA
rnacentral:rRNA from 1 species